rnacentral:rRNA from 1 species
AUACGGAGGAUCCGAGCGUUAUCCGGAUUUAUUGGGUUUAAAGGGAGCGUAGGUGGACAGUUAAGUCAGUUGUGAAAGUUUGCGGCUCAACCGUAAAAUUGCAGUUGAUACUGGCUGUCUUGAGUACAGUAGAGGUGGGCGGAAUUCGUGGUGUAGGGGUGAAAUGCUUAGAUAUCACGAAGAACUCCGAUUGCGAAGGCAGCUCACUGGACUGCAACUGACACUGAUGCUCGAAAGUGUGGGUAUCAAACAGGAUUAGAUACCCUGGUAGUCCACACAGUAAACGAUGAAUACUCGCUGUUUGCGAUAUACAGUAAGCGGCCAAGCGAAAGCAUUAAGUAUUCCACCUGGGGAGUACGCCGGCAACGGUGAAACUCAAAUGAAUUGACGGGG